rfam:Serratia sp. Leaf50 contig_2, whole genome shotgun sequence.
GAGAAGCUGAAAUACACAUGUUUAAAUUCACCCGUCUACUAGGCCUACUACUCAACGCAGAAAAAUUGCGCGGUAUGCCAGUGGGUGAAAAUCAGAACUGAUUCCAGCCUCCACAGUCAGCAAACCCGCGCAAAUGCGCGGGUUUUUUU